GCAAGUCGAGGGGUAACAGAGGUAGCUUGCUACUUGCUGACGACCGGCGCACGGGUACGUAACGCGUAUACAAUCUACCUUAUACUGGGGAAUAGCCUUUGGAAACGAAGAUUAAUGCCCCAUAGUAUUAUUGACUGGCAUCGGUUGGUAAUUAAAGCUUUGGUGGUAUAAGAUGAGUAUGCGUUCUAUUAGUUAGUUGGUAAGGUAACGGCUUACCUAGGCGACGAUAGAUAGGGGCCCUGAGAGGGGGAUC
rnacentral:rRNA from 1 species